GCCUUAGUAGCGCAGCUAACGCGUGAAGUUGACCGCCUGGGGAGUACGGUCGCAAGAUUAAAACUCAAAGGAAUUGACGGGGACCCGCACAAGCGGUGGAUGAUGUGGAUUAAUUCGAUGCAACGCGAAAAACCUUACCUACCCUUGACAUGUCUAGAAGGCCGAAGAGAUUUGGCUGUGCUCGCAAGAGAACUGGAACACAGGUGCUGCAUGGCUGUCGUCAGCUCGUGUCGUGAGAUGUUGGGUUAAGUCCCGCAACGAGCGCAACCCUUGUCAUUAGUUGCUACGAAAGGGCACUCUAAUGAGACUGCCGGUGACAAACCGGAGGAAGGUGGGGAUGACGUCAAGUCCUCAUGGCCCUUAUGGGUAGGGCUUCACACGUCAUACAAUGGUCGGGACAGAGGGUAGCCAACCCGCGAGGGGGAGCCAAUCCCAGAAACCCGAUCGUAGUCCGGAUCGCAGUCUGCAACUCGACUGCGUGAAGUCGGAAUCGCUAGUAAUCGCGGAUCAGCAUGUCGCGGUGAAUACGUUCCCGGGUCUUGUACACACCGCCCGUCACACCAUGGGAGUGGGUUUUACCAGAAGUAGUUAGCCUAACCUUCGGGGGGGCGAUUACCACGGUAGGAUUCAUGACUGGGGUGAAGUCGUAACAAGGUAGCCGUAUCGGAAGGUGCGGCUG
rnacentral:rRNA from 1 species